rnacentral:pre_miRNA from 1 species
CGGUGAAGAAGAGAAUCUGACUUAGAAUAUGAAUCAAGUGAGAUUCUCUUUUCUUCAUUC